AUUGAACGCUGGCGGCAUGCUUUACACAUGCAAGUCGAACGGCAGCGCGGGCUUCGGCCUGGCGGCGAGUGGCGAACGGGUGAGUAAUACAUCGGAACGUGCCCAGUAGUGGGGGAUAGCUCGGCGAAAGCCGGAUUAAUACCGCAUACGACCUGAGGGUGAAAGCGGGGGAUCUUCGGACCUCGCGCUAUUGGAGCGGCCGAUGGCAGAUUAGCUAGUUGGUGGGGUAAAGGCCUACCAAGGCGACGAUCUGUAGCUGGUCUGAGAGGACGACAAGCCACACUGGGACUGAGACACGGACCAGACUCCUAAGGGAGGCAGCAGUGGGGAAUGUUGGACAAUGGGCGAAAGCCUGAUCCAGCAAUGCCGCGUGUGUGAUGAAGGCCUUCGGGUUGUAAAGCACUUUUGGCGGGAACGAAAAGGACUGUGCCAAUACCACGGUUGGAUGACGGUACCCGCAGAAUAAGCACCGGCUAACUACGUG
rnacentral:rRNA from 1 species